rnacentral:rRNA from 1 species
AUUGAACGCUGGCGGCAGGCCUAACACAUGCAAGUCGAACGAGUGGCGGACGGGUGAGUAAUGUCUGGGAAACUGCCUGAUGGAGGGGGAUAACUACUGGAAACGGUAGCUAAUACCGCAUACCAUCGGAUGUGCCCAGAUGGGAUUAGCUAGUAGGUGGGGUAACGGCUCACCUAGGCGACGAUCCCUAGCUGGUCUGAGAUGAUGACCAGACACACUGGAACUGUGACGCGGUCCAGAGUCCGACGGGAGGCAGCAGUGGGGAAUAUUGCACAAUGGGAGCAAGCCUGAUACAGCCAUGCCGAGUGUAUGAAGAAGGCCUUCGGGUUGUAAAGUACUUUCAGCGGGGAGGCGUUACCCGCAGAAGAAGCACCGGCUAACUCCGUGCCAGCCGCCGCGGUAAUUC